GCUUUCACUUGCUGCUUUGCCAAGGAACUGAUUUCCUCUGAGAAUAUAUAGAACUUGAAUUAUCCAGGUAUUCGUAAAAUGGGUUGCGAUUAUUCCAGGCGUGUUCACAUGCGCUAUGAAGAAUUUCACGACUUCGUGGGAAAGUUUAGCCUCUAGUUGAGUUCGCUGUGUUUCUUGGCUAUGGAGAUGUAGAUUCAGGAUUUUGCGGAUAUCCUCGAUCGUCUUUAUGUUGCUAUUCUCCGCCAGUUGAAACAGCUGAGGCUGCCCCUCUCCAAUGAUGCUUAAGGUCACCAGUGCAUCACUCAAAACUGUGCCGUUGGGAACUACUAUCCACUGCCUAAUUGGAGAGUGUGCUAUGAAAGCGCUAUUGAUGUUUAGUUGUGUCUUAAACUUCAAUGUGCGACCUGUUGAGUCGGGGGUAAAGAUUUCUUAUAUUUAGAUAGUUGUAGCAAGGUAAUCUUUAGUAAUCGAAGCCUGCUUGUUGGGAGGAUUAUUUUUUUGCAGAUUGUUUUGUUUGGACUCGUGAUGAAUCUAAGGUCUGUAGAAAGAGUUUAGCGUAAACCUUGCGGAAUACCCAUUACAAUUCAGAAGCCUUGCUGUCCGCUGUGACAAUGGCCAUGACUGUGGGAAGAUAACUCCAAUGUCACUUUUCAUGGACGCCAGCAUAUGGAACUUGGCAUAGUUGCGAAGUGAAGCUGCAGUUUACAGGGACUCCAGAGCUUUGGGCACUUUGUUUUUAGGUAUCAAUGAUAUGUUUGGAAUCGGCCAUUAAUCCACCAAUAUUUGCAAAUUUCCUUUCCUUCGGAAUUUCAAUUUUAUAGCUAUCCAAAGCAUGCGCUUUCCUACGUA